rnacentral:misc_RNA from 1 species
AAAACCCCAUACACCAGAUAUCAAAAGUAUUGAUCAUCAACAUUUUGCAAAUCCUGCACAGCUAUAAUGGUCGAACGAUUACUGAACAAUUUUACAACUGGAAUUUGACAUAAGGUCGUUGAAACACGAACAGUUUUUACAACGGUAAAGAUGUAUUGCAGCAAAAAACAGAUGAUAGUUUAUAAUUUACCCAGAAUGUGUUGCAGACGAGGGGGUGUCAAACCGGUGAAAGAAAAGCAGUGUAAGAACCACCAUUGUACUUCAACCCCUUUAAGAAACCUGAAUUCAUCUGGGAACAAGAUUUGGUAUUUGGGAUACCGAAACAAAGGUUAUCCUUGUCCAUGGCUUCGGUUGCUGAAACUUGAGGAUCAGAACGUUUCCCAGUAAUGCCGAGACUGGCAUUCAAGUUAACUGAAGCUGGCUCUGUGAUAAAACUAGCCUCAAAACUUGUGCUGUUAGAGCAGAAAGCAUCACAUAUAGCAGAGGUUACCCAUGGGGCAAGGUAUCGGCCCUUAAUUUCAACACUAUAGCACAUCCCAGAAGAUGGUUGUUGAUUAGGCUCACAAGUCACAUUUGACUCCAUUCCUUGAAAAGCUGCCUGAUCAAUUCUCCUGACCUCCUUGCAUUUGACCUCAGGAGCAGUGAGUGCAGCAUUCUCAAAUGGGAUAGGUGAAUACAAUUCAGGGACAUCCACACCAGUUAGAGAAGUCAAGAAAUAUCGAUAGUUCAACAGAAAGUCAUAUAAAGAAUGAACAUUCUUAUUUCCAGUGAAUGCCAGCAAAGAAUCUGGCCUAUUAUCCACAUCGCACAUUGCACUUCGACGCCUAGUCUGGCCCAGAUUUUGUUUCUCAAUCUCUGAAAGCUCAACCAAUUCUUCCGUAUUAAGCUCCUCCAACUUUGAGUGGCAAAGCGGCAUAGAAUAAGAAACAUCAUGUU